rnacentral:rRNA from 31 species
UUAAAUUGAAGAGUUUGAUCAUGGCUCAGAUUGAACGCUGGCGGCAGGCCUAACACAUGCAAGUCGAACGGUAACAGGAAGCAGCUUGC